rnacentral:rRNA from 1 species
GUAGUCUGCAACCCGACUACAUGAAGCUGGAAUCGCUAGUAAUCGCGGAUCAGAAUGCCGCGGUGAAUACGUUCCCGGGUCUUGUACACACCGCCCGUCACACCAUGGGAGUCGGAAAUGCCCGAAGUCUGUGACCCAACCUACGGGAGGGAGCAGCCGAAGGCAGGUCGGAUGACUGGGGUGAAGUCGUAACAAGGUAUC